rnacentral:rRNA from 1 species
CCUACGGGUGGCAGCAGUGAGGAAUAUUGGUCAAUGGCCGAGAGGCUGAACCAGCCAAGUCGCGUGAGGGAAGACGGCCCUACGGGCUGUAAACCUCUUUUGUCGGGGAGCAAAGCGAACCACGUGUGGUUCAUUGAGAGUACCCGAAGAAAAAGCAUCGGUUAACACCGGGCCAGCAGCCGGGGUAAAACGGAGGAUGCGAGCGUUAUCCGGAUUUAUUGGGUUUAAGGGGUGCGCAGGCGGAGGUGCAAGUCAGCGGUCAAAUUGCGGGGCUCAACCCCGGACUGCCGUUGAAACUGCAUGCCUGGAGUGCGCGAGAGGUAUGCGGAAUGCGUGGUGUAGCGGUGAAAUGCAUAGAUAUCACGCAGAACUCCGAUUGCGAAGGCAGCAUACCGGAGCGCAACUGACGCUCAUGCACGAAAGCGUGGGUAUCGAACAGGAUUAGAUACCCGUGUAGUC